rnacentral:tRNA from 1 species
GGAGGGGUGGCAGAGCGGUCGAAUGCGCCGGUCUUGAAAACCGGAGAGCCGUCAGGCUCCGUGGGUUCGAAUCCCACCCCCUCCGCCA